rnacentral:rRNA from 1 species
UGGGGAAUUUUGGACAAUGGGCGAAAGCCUGAUCCAGCAAUGCCGCGUGUGUGAAGAAGGCCUUCGGGUUGUAAAGCACUUUUGUCCGGAAAGAAAUCCUUGGCUCUAAUACAGUCGGGGGAUGACGGUACCGGAAGAAUAAGCACCGGCUAACUACGUGCCAGCAGCCGCGGUAAUACGUAGGGUGCAAGCGUUAAUCGGAAUUACUGGGCGUAAAGCGUGCGCAGGCGGUUGCUAAGACCGAUGUGAAAUCCCCGGGCUCAACCUGGGAACUGCAUUGGUGACUGGCAGGCUAGAGUAUGGCAGGAGGGGGGUAGAAUUCCACGUGUGAGCAGUGAAAUGCGUAGAGAUGUGGAGGAAUACCGAUGGCGAAGGCAGCCCCCUGGGCCAAUACUGACGCUCAUGCACGAAAGCG